CCGUGAUAAAGUAGCAUAAUCACUCGUCAUUUAAUUGGUGACUGGAAUGAAUGGUUACACGAAUCUUUAACUGUCUCAAGAAGAAAGUUCAAUUAAUUUGAAAAAACAGUGAAGAUACUGUUAACAAAAUUGUAAGACGAAAAGACCCUUUCGAGCUUUACUAUAAGCUUAUAGAAAAAAUCUUUAAUAAAAAUAUAAUAAAAACAAACUGUAAGCUAGUUAGUUUGGUUGGGGCGACCACCUCUAAAACAGUAUCAGAGGAAAUCUAAAGGUAUAAUAGUAAUAUUAAUUGCCUUACUGUAUACAAACAAGUUAAUCAGUUACUAUUAUGUAGGAUAUAAUGACCCGUUGAAUUAAUUUCAAAAUUCAACGACCAUGAAAAAAGUUACCGUAGGGAUAACAGGGUAAUAUUAUCAAAGAGUUCAUAUCGAUGAUGAU
rnacentral:rRNA from 1 species